rnacentral:rRNA from 2 species
AGUAACGGCGAGUGAAGCGGCAACAGCUCAAAUUUGAAAUCUGGCGCAAGCCCGAGUUGUAAUUUGUAGAGGAUGCUUCAGGGCAGCGGCCGGUCUAAGUUCCUUGGAACAGGACGUCAUAGAGGGUGAGAAUCCCGUAUGCGACCGGUUGGCACCCGUCACGUAGCUCCUUCGACGAGUCGAGUUGUUUGGGAAUGCAGCUCUAAAUGGGAGGUAAAUUUCUUCUAAAGCUAAAUACCGGCCAGAGACCGAUAGCGCACAAGUAGAGUGAUCGAAAGAUGAAAAGCACUUUGGAAAGAGAGUUAAAAAGCACGUGAAAUUGUUGAAAGGGAAGCGCAUGCAACCAGACUUGUCGGCGGUGUUCCGCCGGUCUUCUGACCGGUCUACUCGCCGCCGGCAGGCCAGCAUCAUCUGGGCGCGCCGGACAAAGGCGUGGGGAAUGUGGCUCCUCGGAGUGUUAUAGCCCCGCGCACAAUACGGCGCCGCUCGGGUGAGGUCCGCGCUUCGGCUAGGAUGCUGGCGUAAUGGUUGUUUGCGGCCCGUCUUGAAACACGGACCAAGGAGUCUAACAUCUAUGCGAGUGUUCGGGUGUCAAACCCCUACGCGUAAUGAAAGUGAACGGAGGUGGGAAGCGCAAGCUGCACCAUCGACCGAUCCUGAUGUCUUCGGAUGGAUUUGAGUAAGAGCAUAGCUGUUGGGACCCGAAAGAUGGUGAACUAUGCCUGAAUAGGGUGAAGCCAGAGGAAACUCUGGUGGAGGCUCGCAGCGGUUCUGACGUGCAAAUCGAUCGUCAAAUUUGGGUAUA